AGUAACAAUACAUAGUGCUCCAGAGUAGUAAACACAAUACUCUAAACGUUGUGACAGUAUCCAAAUGACACACUUGACAUGUCCUGCAGCUGAUUGAUGUGAAAAGGAAGUUACUCAGCAAUUCUUACUCUCCACCCAUCCCUCUUCUAAUGACUUUUACUGACACGUUGUUUCCAUGUUCACGUUGUCCAUUAUUCCUCAUCCUGUACCUUCCAAAAGACAAUUCCUUUAGCAGUUCCCUAAGGGUUCCUCACUCCAUAGUUCCAAGAGGCCAGGGGUUGCUGGGGAAUCCACAGAAACAGGAAACGAAGCUUCCUCCAUCCAGUUUCAAAUGUUUAAAAUCUGUUUCCUUUCUCUACCGCAAAUAACAUCCCCAGAUGGGUGUCUGUGCAGGUUCAUUGUGAAAGUGGCAGCUUGAAAGAGAAGAGGCAGAAGGAGUCUCCUGUGCAGAGGUCUAUCUGAGGGAACCCGGUGAAGUUCUUAUAAGGCAACAGGAUGAAGAAGAUAUUAUUGAUAUUGGUUUUACUAUCCUUAGAGAAGAGCAGCACUGAAGCCAACUCAACUGCCGUGGUUUCGGUAACACUUGUGGAUAACAAAGUGGAGACCACUUAUUCUGGCUUGACUUUGGGUGAAACACAGAGCCUGAGAAAUGGGUUGAUCACACCCCUGCCUCCUGCUUUGGAGAGGUCAAAAGCUGUGCUGAACACAAGCCAAAAAGUGGCCGUAAAAGCCAGUUCUCCUCCAGUUACAGAAGGGAUACAAGGAUUGCAAACUCCAGCAGUGACACAGCAGAAGAAAUCCGUACUCUCCAUAAGCAGCAGUGGCCCCAACAACAGCAUCAACAGCUCGCCAAACGUAAAGUCACCGUCCCUCUCUAACAGCACAAGGAUUCCGGCACAGAUCAGUCCGAGAAGAAGUCCUCUUCAAAGAGAAGUUCCUAAAGGAGCAACUGUGAGCAGGUUUUCCAGACAAUCUGGUUAUGGCAGCAUCAGCAAGCCGAAUGCGGAUCCCAAAAAGCCCAGCUUUGAAACGACCAGGGGAAAGAAUUGGUGCGCCUAUGUCCACACAAGACUACAGCCCACUAUAGUGGUUGACAAUGUAGAAAGCUACACAUCAGGAAGGAACAAGCAAUGCACCUGGCUUACGGGACACUGUGGCUCAAGGUAUGUAACACAGUUUGAACUGUCUGAGUGUGCUUUAAUUAAGACCUAUUAAAUUAAUGAAAAAGAGAGAAUAGAAGGCCUGAAACAUCCCAAAGAGACCUAACAAGACUACAGCCCACUAUAGUGGUUGACAAUGUAGAAAGCUACACAUCAGGAAGGAACAAGCAAUGCACCUGGCUUACGGGACACUGUGGCUCAAGGUAUGUAACACAGUUUGAACUGUCUGAGUGUGCUUUAAUUAAGACCUAUUAAAUUAAUGAAAAAGAGA
rnacentral:lncRNA from 1 species